UACGAAGGGGGCGAGCGUUGUUCGGAUUUACUGGGCGUAAAGGGCGCGCAGGCGGCCGCAUUUGUCAGGCGUGAAAGCCCCGGGCUUAACCUGGGAACUGCGUUUGAUACGGUGUGGCUAGAGUUCGGGAGAGGAGAGUGGAAUUCCCAGUGUAGAGGUGAAAUUCGUAGAUAUCUGGAGGAAUACCGGUGGCGAAGGCGGCAUCCUGGACCGAGAUUGACACUGAUGAGCGAAAGCUAGGGGAGCAAACGGG
rnacentral:rRNA from 1 species